GCUCCAGUGGCGCAAUUGGUUAGCGCACGGUACUUAUAAUCAGUAUACUUGUGAGCAAUGCCGGGGUUGUGAGUUCGAGCCUCACCUGGAGCA
rnacentral:tRNA from 1 species